rnacentral:rRNA from 1 species
UGGGGAAUAUUGGGCAAUGGGCGAAAGCCUGACCCAGCAACGCCGCGUGAAGGAAGAAGGCUUUCGGGUUGUAAACUUCUUUUAUCAGGGACGAAGGAUGUGACGGUACCUGAUGAAUAAGCCACGGCUAACUACGUGCCAGCAGCCGCGGUAAUACGUAGGUGGCAAGCGUUGUCCGGAUUUACUGGGUGUAAAGGGCGCGUAGGCGGAGAGACAAGUCAGAUGUGAAAUCUAUGGGCUUAACCCAUAAACUGCAUUUGAAACUAUCUCCCUUGAGUGAUGGAGAGGCAAGCGGAAUUCCUAGUGUAGCGGUGAAAUGCGUAGAUAUUAGGAGGAACACCAGUGGCGAAGGCGGCUUGCUGGACAUUAACUGACGCUGAGGCGCGAAAGCGUGGGGAGCAAACAGG